rnacentral:misc_RNA from 1 species
UUUCCGUAGGUGAACCUGCGGAAGGAUCAUUAUUGUAGAACCGAUGUGAGAUGUCUUUCGCUGAUCCGAAUGGUCGUGCACGCCCGAGGGCCCUCGCACACAUCCAUCUUACCCCUAACCGCACCACCGCAUUGAUCCCCCUUGAGCUUGUUCGGAGGAGAGCUUACAAUUUCACACAAACUUUAUAUGCAGUGUAGAAUGUGUUUUUUGGUUUUACGAUCACGAAAUCAAUAUAACUUGCAACAACGGAUGUCUUGACUCUGGCAUCGAUGAAGAACC